rnacentral:rRNA from 1 species
AUUAAACGCUGGCGGCAUGCCUUACACAUGCAAGUCGAACGGUAGCGCGGGGCAACCUGGCGACGAGUGGCGAACGGGUGAGUAAAGCAUCGGAACGUGCCCUGGAAUGGGGGAUAACGUAGCGAAAGUUACGCUAAUACCGCAUAUUCUGUGAGCAGGAAAGCAGGGGAUCGCAAGACCUUGCGUUCUGGGAGCGGCCGAUGUCGGAUUAGCUAGUUGGUGGGGUAAAAGUCUACCAAGGCGACGAUCCGUAGCGGGUCUGAGAGGAUGAUCCGCCACACUGGGACUGAGACACGGCCCAGACUCCUACGGGAGGCAGCAGUGGGGAAUUUUGGACAAUGGGCGGAAGCCUGAUCCAGCCAUGCCGCGUGAGUGAAGAAGGCCUCGGUUGUAAGA